ACGUAGGGUGCAAGCGUUGUCCGGAAUUAUUGGGCGUAAAGAGCUCGUAGGCGGUUUGUUGCGUCGGCUGUGAAAUCCCGAGGCUCAACCUCGGGUCUGCAGUCGAUACGAGCAAACUAGAGUGUUGCAGGGGAGACUGGAAUUCCUGGUGUAGCGGUGAAAUGCGCAGAUAUCAGGAGGAACACCGGUGGCGAAGGCGGGUCUCUGGGCAACAACUGACGCUGAGGAGCGAAAGCGUGGGGAGCGAACAGGA
rnacentral:rRNA from 1 species